rnacentral:rRNA from 1 species
UGCGUAGGCGGAAAUUUAAGUCAGUGGUGAAAUCUCAUAGCUUAACUAUGAAACUGCCAUUGAUACUGCGGGUCUUGAGUAAGGUAGAAGUAGCUGGAAUAAGUAGUGUAGCGGUGAAAUGCAUAGAUAUUACUUAGAACACCAAUUGCGAAGGCAGGUUACUAUGUCUUAACUGACGCUGAUGGACGAAAGCGUGGGGAGCGAACAGGAUUAGAUACCCUGGUAGUCC